CCUACGGGAGGCAGCAGUGAGGAAUAUUGGUCAAUGGACGAGAGUCUGAACCAGCCAAGUAGCGUGAAGGAUGACUGCCCUAUGGGUUGUAAACUUCUUUUAUAUGGGAAUAAAACGUUCCACGUGUGGGCUUUUGUAUGUACCAUAUGAAUAAGGAUCGGCUAACUCCGUGCCAGCAGCCGCGGUAAUACGGAGGAUCCGAGCGUUAUCCGGAUUUAUUGGGUUUAAAGGGAGCGUAGGUGGAUUGUUAAGUGAGUUGUGAAAGUUUGCGGCUCAACCGUAAAAUUGCAGUUGAAACUGGCAGUCUUGAGUACAGUAGAGGUGGGCGGAAUUCGUGGUGUAGCGGUGAAAUGCUUAGAUAUCACGAAGAACUCCGAUUGCGAAGGCAGCUCACUGGACUGCAACUGACACUGAGGCUCGAAAGUGUGGGUAUCAAACAGGAUUAGAUACCCUUGUAGUC
rnacentral:rRNA from 1 species